GCAGCGGACUUCCGGGGUGGCGCCAUCGGUAAUGGCGGAUUCCCUCUGACUCGGAGGGGACCGGCUCUGCGGAAAUCGGGUCUGUACCGCUACGGCGAAGCGGGGACCCUUCAAAAAUCACAGGCGGGUGAAGCCUGUGACCGUGGGACUCGGCGGGCACCUUUUGCGCCCCCCCAAUUUGCAAAGGAGCCCGAUUACGGGUUCCGGAGUGAAGCGGGGAAGCGGCGCGGUGCUGUGAGUCAACUGCUUCUUCCGUGGAGUGAAGCCGCACAGCCGUUACCGGAGAGCGCUACCUUUUCCUGUGACAAUUUGGCUACAAAACAACGAUCCGUGAGUAGGCUAAUUUGGGAAUUAAAGGAG